AAAGCUCCCUCUCUCCCUCUCUCCUGUUUGAGUCCACACUGAAUAAUUAAACAGGAAGAGCAAGGCAGACGAGGCGCGGGAGGCACAGAACACACGCAGCAGGGCGGAACAGAACAGCUCCUUGGUGACACAACAAAGAGCAAGCAGGAAAUCAACAAUACUGCAUCACAACUGUUAUAUUCUUCUCUUUUGACUGUAUUUCUUUUCUCUCUCUCAUUUAUUUGUCCUCAUAGCUUAGUGAUUAUGCAGUUCAAUGUUGUAGUGUUGUUGAUUUGAGUUUUAACCAGUGUGAAAUGGAUCUGUAUAUCAUUUAUUUAUUUUCUGAGUUAAAAUGAAGCGAAAGGAAAAAAGGGGAAGGAUAAGAAUGAAUAAAAGAAAGAAAGGAAGAAAGAACGGUUAAUAAAAACAACUAAUUUCUUCACUCAUAUAUUUCAAACACACGUUAAAAUAAAGAUAACAACAUCC